AACAUAGCAGAAGAAAAAAAUUAGUGAAUUUGCAGGCACAGCAAUAGAAACUAUCCAAAACAAAAUACAGAGAGGAAAAAUAAUUUUUUAAAGAUGAGCAGAGCAUCACUGAACUGUGGUACGCUUCAAGCAGCCUAACAUGUAUGUAACUGAGGAUUCAGGAGAGGAGAGAGAAGGGGAGGGACAGAAAAAAAUAUUUAAAGAAAUAAUAGGCCGGGUGCAGUGGCUUACGCCUGUAAUCCUAGCACUUUGGGAGGCUGAGGCAGGUGGAUCACUUGAGAUCAGGAGUUCGAGACCAACCUGGCCAAUAUGGUGAAACUCAGUCUCUACUAAAAAUACAAAAAUUAACUGGGCAUGGUGGCGGGCACCUGCAAUCCCAGCUACUCAGGAGGCUGAGGCACAAGAAUUGCUUAAACCCAGGAGGUGAAGGCUGCAGUGAUCCAAGGUCAUGCCACUGCACUCCACCCUCGGUGACGGAGUAAGACUCUGUGUCAAAAAAAAAAAAAAAAGAAAAAAGAAAGAGAUAAUAGUUUAAAAUUUUUCAGGCUUGAUCAAAACAAAUCCAAGAAGCCCAAUGAACCCUAAGUACAAGAAACAUGAAGAAAACCACACAAAAGCACACAUCAUAAUCAAAUCGAUCAAAAGUGAUGAUAAAAUCUAGAAUCAGCCAGAGAAAAAAAGACACCUUACAUACAGAGGAACAAAGAUACAAAUGACAGGUUUCUCAUUGGAAACAUUGAGAACAGUGGGAAAACCUCUUUAAAAUACUGAAAGAAUUUAUUACCAGUAGGCCUGCCCUAUAAGAAAUGUUCAUCGAAGUCCUCCAGGCAGAAAGAAAAGGAUAUCAGAUGGAAUAUGGAUCUAUACAUGAAAUAAUAAGGAGCACUGGAAAUAACUACAUUGCUAAACAUAUCUCUUUCUUACUAUUUCAAUCUCCUUAAAAAUAAUUGGCUGUUUAAAUGAGAAUAACAGCAAUGUAUUAUAAAAUGGAUGACAAUUGCACAGCGGUCGGGUCAGGAGAAAUGGAAGUAUACUAUAAUUAGGUUCUUAUACUAUAUGUGAAAUGGUAUUAUAUCGCAUGAAGAUAGACUGUGAUAAAUUCAAGAUUUAUACUAUAAACUCUAAAGCAACCACUAAAAUAAAACAGAGUUUUAGUUUCAAAGCCUACAAAGG
rnacentral:lncRNA from 10 species